UCGGUCUGAAAGACACAAGACGAAGAUAUAUCAGUCCAGGGGGUCUGUACUACAAAGCCUCAACUCUGGGUUCUCAGUCCUACGAAGCUGGUUCUCUUCUCAUCGGGGUAAAUCAGCAUGGCAACAUAUGCUGAACAGCUAACCUGCCUCCGGAGCAGCUUACGUUUCAGAUGAGAGAUCAAAGCCUGUCAACAGCCCCACUACUGACCAAUCAAAUCACUGGAAACCAGCAUCAUCAUUAAACAGGAUCCCGUUGGGGACAACGGAGUUAAGGGUAACGUGACGAAUAAUAAAGCGCGGCAGAUAUUUAUGAAUGAGUGGAAUCAUGUUGAUGUUCCAGACUUUCCACGCGUCCACUCAAAACAGAACUUCUAAUUAACAGGGAGAGAUAAUCACACUAAAUAAAUACAUAGACGCAUUAAUAUUAGAGCUUCAUUUGAAUUCAAUAAAGAUGAUUUGAUUCCCGACAGAUUUAUUUAAGUUAAAGAGCUGCACAGGGAUGACGCAGGCGAUACAUUUCUACCAUGAAGGCCAACUUCAAAAUAAAAAAUAUAUCACUGAAACAUUAACCUUUAGUGCAGACAGUGGAGGAAGAGGACAAUGUACUUUUUACUUCACUACAAUUAUCUGACAGCUUCUGUUAAUUCACCAAGGAAGGUUUUACAUUAUGAUUUUUAUUUAUUUCAAUUAUGAUAUUUAAUUAUUUCUAUUUUAAAUGAAUGAAGUAACACAAUUGACUAUUGUAAUUGGCUCACAUUUAAAAUGCUAAACAUUUCCUGGUUCCAGCUUCACAAAUGUGAUUUUUUGCUUUUAUUAUUUUAAUAAUUUUCUAAUAGUUAAGAGAUUUGGACUGUGGGUUAAUGCAAAACCAGCUUUGUGAAGGUGUCAGUGUGUAGGUCUUAUUACCAAUUAUCAAUAGAUCAAUGGAGAUACUCAUCAGAUUCGUCCAAUGAAAAUCACUACCUGUUUUUUUUAAAAGCCCUUCACCGCUAAGUGACAUUGGCAGUGCACUGGGUUUGUUUGUUUGUUUUUCGUCAAGCUAACACACAUAGAUCCACUUCUGUUGCGUCAUCGAUAAAUGUGUCGCUAAGACACGGUUUAUCGUCUUUAUGGUUGCAGUUCUACUUCGGGUAUUUACAGCGUUUAAUCUAGGUGGGCGAAGCCGCCGCGGUGAGUCACAUCGCUGCAGUGCGUUUAUUCCCAUCGUUGAAUCGGUUAGCAUGACAAGCUAACCGCCACUUUCACCCCCACCGUCACUAAAAUAACAUGAACAUCUACACAAUUCGAGCCUCCUGAAUAUAAAGCCCUGCUCGGUCAUUUUAAAAUACAUGCAUGUGUUUGAAUUUACCUGUAAAAGACACAUUCAAAUACAAAGUGCCAUGGAAACUGGAGUGGUGUCCCUCAUUGCAAUGACUAACGUAAAGCGGAACAAGUGAGGACCGUAAACAUUUCACGACAGUAUGUUGGAGAUAAACUCGGCUAUGAUUGGCUGGUUUCAUCCGGGUACCCGCUGGUGCGUUUACUGACAGGGUAACGGUGUGUUUCAAAACACAGAGGCAUUGAAAGCAUUAAAAGAAUUAUCCAGAUCCUUUAUUAAAGUAAAAGUACUAACAAGCUGCUAUACUGUUAAAACGUUUCUUAAUUAUUACAAGUACAAGUAUAUUAUGUUUCUUUAGUAAAACUAGAUAAUUAUAAAUGGGAAAAAUGUGCUUAAAGAACUCAAAGCAGAAAAUACACCUCAUUACUCAAGUAUUAAUGUGUAGGCAACAUCUUUCUGUUGUAGCUGAAGUGAAUCGCUG
ensembl:lncRNA